rnacentral:tRNA from 1 species
GGGCGUGUGGUCUAGUGGUAUGACGUCUGCUUCGCAAGCAGAAGGUCCCGGGUUCAAAUCCCGUCUCGUCCA